UCAGAGGAGAGAGCUGCAUGUUUCUCUGAGUCUCCGGGUCCAUGUUGGAGUUGCUCUGCUCUGCUGGGUCAUUUCAGGCCACGUCUGUCCGAGCACAGGAGCAAACGCUGGUAUUACAGGGAUAUCUAAUAAAGGACAUACACAUAUACUGUGCUGCAGCUUCGAGGUUUUCAUGUUGGGAGGGAUUCAUCCACCUCGGCCCUGGCAGGACUAAACCUUCCAAUGUCUUUCUGCUGACUAAAGAACUAUGGAUAUUGAAUGACUUUCCUGAGCCUCUGCUGCUCCAAACCACUCUGGAACGACUCCGAUAUCACAAAGAACAAGAUAUCAGCGAGUCCGUGGAUGACAACAGCAUGAUGUUGAAGGCCUAAUAUACAGCAGUAUGUCAGAAGCCCACGGGAGAGGAUACGUCAUCAUCGAACAGAGCGGAGAACAGCGACGCGGGUGUUUACAAAUGGACAGAGACACGUGUGUUUAUCAGGUGCAGAGUUACUGAUGAAGGAAUGCUGCCAUCAAAGGCUCAAGCUUUUGCGGCGGCAUUUGUGGGGGAAAAAAAA